CCUGCCCUUAUUCUGUGCUCUAAGUCCCUUCAGAGUGAUGUGAGAGCCUGCGUGCGUGGGCAAGUCAGGAACCCAUGCGGAUGACAAGCCCAAUAACAUCAAACGUGUACAGAGUUUCACUUCUUUCUCUCCCUUCCUCAACAUAAAAGCCCAGCAAAGGGUUCACGGUCUCUGCCAACUCCGGGGAGAAGACAUGUGCUGGGCAGAUGGCUGCGUGAUCCUCAGAACCCCCGGGGACCCACCCUGUUACAUGUGCUUGUGGCUGCAAAGACCAAAGGCCCUGGAUGGGUGGACGUCUAUCCAGAGGCCUCUGUGGUCACGGAGCCCUCAGAACUCGUCCUGAACCACAUGGAGUAGCAGCCGCUCUACUGUUAGGGGAUGGUUAUGGGAAGUAGUACUGGGAUGUAGCUACUCUGUGACUUGCGGUGCAGCCGUUGCUCUCUCCAACCUGGGGACCUCCAGAGAAGCAAGCUCAAGCAAGUGGCUCCACUUGCGAAUGCGUUCCACAACCCUGCUGCCUCACUCAUAUUAAUAUUUUUAUAUCUGCGGUUUAUCAAGAUGUUUAUAACU
rnacentral:lncRNA from 1 species